GCCUACCAGGGGCUUAGUGGAGACCG
rnacentral:piRNA from 1 species